UACGAAGGGUGCAAGCGUUGUUCGGAAUCAUUGGGCGUAAAGCGCGCGCAGGCGGAUCAGCAAGUCAGGUGUGAAAUCUCGGGGCUCAACCUCGAAACUGCGCCUGAAACUGCUAGUCUAGAAUGUCGGAGGGGGCAGGGGAAUUUCACGUGUAGGGGUAAAAUCCGUAGAGAUGUGAAGGAACACCGGAGGCGAAGGCG
rnacentral:rRNA from 1 species